UUUUAGAAAGUGCAACUUGUAUACUUGCUGGUCCCCAAGGAAUGAAUGAAGCGUAUCGUCGUUCUCUUAUGCGAAGCAAGGAUUUGUGAACGUCCGCCGGAUCUGCUUCUCCUUGAAUGAUAUCCAAAAUACUAAUAAAGCAACUCUUUUUGCUAGGAUUGACGGAAACCAUCUGGUUUUUAGGCAACAACAACCUUCUCAUCACAUCAAGCACGGUAGUUUUCCGAAUGGCCUUUGCUUCUUCCACUUGCUGAUUGGUAAAAGGAGUGUAUGAGGUUAGUAAAAAGUGACAGCGAGGACUUGGAAUUAAUGAAGCUAUUAUACUGACAAGAUCGUUGUUCAUGUAGCCAGGAUAUCUUAAAGUUGUUGUACUGGCAGACAUAACAGUUGAAACCUAGAAUAGUUAGUUGAUGAAAAGACCUAAUAUAAAUCAAUUACCAAUUGGUUUUGUUGAUGAAACGUAGGGUUCUGAGUAUGUAACCGAUCAGCAGCAAUAUGAGCAAGUGCUGCAUUGUCCAACACAACAACAGAAUCAGCAUUCAAUGUCAGUCGCUUCAAUGCAAGAAGACUGUUGUAAGGCUGAACCACAACAUCUGAUACGGAUUGACUAUUAGGGAAUACUGAAUAAGUUUGGAUAAUCUUCUUGGGAUAACGAUCGUUUAAUCUCUCAAGCAAGAAAGAGCCCAGCCCAGAACCCGUUCCACCAGCGAUAGAAUGUAAAAGCGAGAAACCCUCUAGAGAAUCACUUCCAUCAGCUUCACGAUCUAUCAUGUCCAUUAUAUCUUCAAAAAUCCUCUCAGCAUGCGAAUAACCAUUAGCCCAAUUAUUGCCAGCACCUCCUCCAUUUUUGGUAAUAAGUAUAUUUUCGGGAUUAUAAAGGCUGCCGUAGGUGUCGCUUAGAAUAUUGUUGACCACCUAAGGUAAAGAGGACAUUAGUCACUUGAAUAUUUCAGCAAAUACUAAUAAAAGGAUGCGAUAACAUACUCUUGGUUCCAGAUCAAUCAAAAUGGCUCUAGGAAUGUAUCUAGUAUCAUCAGACUAAAAUGAGUUAACAUGUUGAAACUUUAAAGUGUAUCAAUAAACCAACCUGGUAGAAAAAAACGUCUUUUCGAUCAACACCCUCAGUUGCGAAACUUUCUAGCGUGCCAUCAGGCCCAAUGCCAUGUUCCAAACACAACUGUUGCCAGAAUUGUGAACCAACUAGACAAGUUUGUGAGUAAUUAGAAUUUCGAUUUGAUUAAUAGUAGUAUAGGUGAACAUACUUUGAUUACCACAUUGACCAGCUUGUAACGUAAUGAUUUCUCUGCCCAUGAUUAAACAAUGAAGGAGCAAACAAUCUUUGAUGUUUGCUUCUUACUUAAAAGUACAACCGCGAAAGAUUUUUUGCUGAAAUAGGUGGUUUUCAAAAGAAGGGUAUCUUGAGGUAUUUCGCUGUGCUUGGGUGAACUGUAGGUCGAUAAGAGAAGGUUGGUAGUAAGAAAAGCAAACAUUUUCCAGGU